GAUGAAGAACGUAGCGAAAUGCGAUACUUGGUGUGAAUUGCAGAAUCCCGUGAACCAUCGAGUCUUUGAACGCAAGUUGCGCCCGAAGCCAUUAGGCCGAGGGCACGCCUGCCUGGGCGUCACACGUCGUUGCCCCCCCAUCUACUCCUUCGGGAUUGCGGGGGGCGGAUGAUGGCCUCCCGUGCGCCUCGUCGCGCGGUUGGCAUAAAUGCCAAGUCCUCGGCGACACACGCCACGACAAUCGGUGGUUGCGAAACCUCGGUUGCCCGUCGUGUGCGGUCGUCGCGCAUCGAGGGCUCGAAAAAAUUGCCGGGCUCCGGCUCGGCUUUCACCGCGCCCCCAGGUCAGGCGGGGUUACCCGCUGAAUUUAAGCAUAUCAAUAAGCGGAGGA
rnacentral:misc_RNA from 1 species